rnacentral:rRNA from 1 species
CCUACGGGUGGCAGCAGUGAGGAAUAUUGGUCAAUGGGCGGAAGCCUGAACCAGCCAAGUCGCGUGAGGGAGUAAGGCCCUACGGGUCGUAAACCUCUUUUGCCGGGGAGCAGUGCCCAGCUCGUGAGCUGGGAGGGAGCGUACCCGGAGAAAAAGCAUCGGCUAACUCCGUGCCAGCAGCCGCGGUAAUACGGAGGAUGCGAGCGUUAUCCGGAUUUACUGGGCGUAAAGCGCGCGUAGGCUGUUGUGUAAGUUGGGGGUGAAAUCCCACGGCUCAACCGUGGAACAGCCCUUGAUACUGCGCGACUUGAGUCCGGGAGAGGGUGGCGGAAUUCCAGGUGUAGGGGUGAAAUCCGUAGAUAUCUGGAGGAACAUCAGUGGCGAAGGCGGCCACCUGGACCGGUAUUGACGCUGAGGCGCGAAAGCGUGGGGAGCAAACAGGAUUAGAUACCCCUGUAGUC